rnacentral:rRNA from 1 species
UACAGAGGGGGCAAGCGUUAUUCGGAAUUAUUGGGCGUAAAGGGCGCGUAGGCGGCAUGGCAAGUGGAUGGUGAAAUCCCUCGGCUUAACCGAGGAACUGCCGUCCAAACUGCUUCGCUUGAGACCGGGAGAGGUGAGUGGAAUUCCCAGUGUAGCGGUGAAAUGCGUAGAUAUCGGGAGGAACACCAGUGGCGAAGGCGACUUCCUGGCCUGUUCUUGACGCUGAGGCGCGAAAGCUAGGGGAGCAAACGGG